AGGCUAGAGAUGUGGUUCCCAUGCGGUCACUGUUCAUUUGCAUUAAAAACAUAAAGGAUAGUUAAAGUUUUAUGAAAUUACGAAAAUUGCCACUCUAUCACGAUACAUCAGCUCUCUCCCUCUCUCUCUCACAGAUCCAUUUCUCCCCAAAAUCAAAACCUCCAUUUCUCCCCAAAUCAAAACCUCUCUCUCUCUCUCUCUCACAGAUCCAUUUCUCCCCAAAAUCAAAACCUCUAUUUCUCCCCAAAUCAAAACCUCCAUUUCAGCGGCGAAGCAACAAAGCGAGGUUCCGGCGGCGGCGAAGCAACAAAGCAAGGUUCCGACAGCGAAGCAACGAAUCGAGGCUCCGACGGCGAGGCAAUAGAUCUUGGAUGCGGCGGCAAAGCUAGUGGUGAAGAGGAACUACUGAGGCUACUGACCCCCAAAACGAAGCCCCAGGUCUCUUCUGACGAAGCCCUAUCCAAUUCCAAGGAGGAGGAGCCGAUCAACGACGAAGAGGACGAGGAAGAGGUAGAGGCCGUCGCUCGCUCCGCCAACUCCGACGAUGAAGACGCCGCCGAGGACAACUCCCGCGGCUCCGAUGACGAGGCUGUGCCGGUCGAGAAGGACUAUGACUUUGAAGAAGAGGACUCAGCAAAUUUCGUUUGCAGGAUGGAGCUAAUGAAAGCAAUGCUCAUGUGAGCAAACGCAAUAAGGCCAGGCUAGUAUACUACUGGGGGUCAGUAUACUACUGGGGAUCAGUGAGGGUCAGUAUACUACUGGGGGUCAAUAUACUACUGAGGGUCAGUACUCCAGGAAAUCCUGCUGGAGAAACUUCUUCACCAUGAGAAGAGGUGAAAUUCAAUGCAACUUGUAUGUGCAAGCAGCAAAGCCAGAAAUAAAUGAUAUAUUGUUCAAGUUUCAUAUUGUAAUAUUUAUAAAUAGUUUUUGGAAUUAUUAAAUAAAUGAGUUGUUUCUAAGAAAAACAAAGAUGGAAUAUAGAAAUAUUAUUUCUUCACAA